ensembl:miRNA
UAUAUAUGUGUGUAUGUGUGCAUGUACAUCUGUGUACAUAAGCAUGCCUAAAGCUACACAUACAUAAAUGUGUACAUACUAAAAAUAGA